UUUUUCACUAGAGCAGAAUAGGGAACUUCCUUCUUAGUGGACCAAUCAGAGCUCAGACAUGAGGUUGAAUCAUGAACACUCACAGAAUCAACCUUUUACAUUUGGUCAGAAGCAGUAGAGGAAUGAACCUGUAUCCUGUCCAUCUACCUGUCAGUCAAAGAGGCCCUUAGUAUCAGUACAGUACUGUAAACAUGUUUAUUGGGUCUAUUAGGACUGACUCACUGCUGGACACCAGAGGAACUGCAGGUUUGAGCUGAGUUUAUCCAGCUCAGGUUCAAACACUGCAGAGAUCCUCAGUCUGGAUCCAACUGUGACUGUCUGUCUUUUGUCUCAACAGCAUGUGGAGGCUAAGUGACGCAUUAACUAAGAUGGUGGAGAACACGUAUGGAAAUGAGGUGGAAGGUGAAAAUGCUCCUGUGAUGUUGGAGAACUUAGAUGGAAGGGAGAAUGCUGAAGAAAUUCAUCUGCUGAACGGUCAACCAUAGUGAUGUGUUGAAGGACGAUGAAAAAUAGAAGAACCAAAUGCUCGUCACUUUGCUGAGCUCCAGAUUAAAGCACAGAAGAGGCGGGGUCUUUACUGUGACUGCCCCUCCACAACAGGACCUCCCCAACAUCAGAGACCUGUUUAAACUACUCCCUGGAUUUAAAUCACAAUGACCUCUGACUACUUUUAUGUGUGUUAUUUCUGACUCAGGUUCUCUCCUGUUUUUUCCUUUCUUAAAAUCUCUCAUCUUGUCUCAGGUUUUUAAGGUAGCACAGUGGUUAGGACUGUUGCAUCACAGAAGAAGGUCCUUAGUUUGACUCCACCAUCAGGUCUUUCUGUGUGGAGUUUGCAUGUUCUCCCAUGUCUAUGUGGGUUCUCUCCAGUACUUUGGCUUCCUCCCACAGUCCAAAGACAUCCACUUAGUGGGGUUAGGUUAACUGGUAACACUAAGGCUACGUCCACACCAAUGCGUUUUCCCCAAAGGAAAACGCUCUCGAAAACGAAUACAUUUGAAGACGGUUCGUUUGUGUCGCAGUGUGGACAGCGAAACAGAGACUUUUGAAAACGAUGACGUAUUUUAGUCAUGUGAUGCAGUCAUGUGACCAAUUAAACAAAGAUAGCGGAGGGCAUUAUACAGCAGUUGUUUUGUUUGA